rnacentral:rRNA from 1 species
AUCGAACGCUGGCGGCAGGCCUAACACAUGCAAGUCGAGCGGAUGAAGGGAGCUUGCUCCUGGAUUCAGCGGCGGACGGGUGAGUAAUGCCUAGGAAUCUGCCUGGUAGUGGGGGAUAACGUCCGGAAACGGGCGCUAAUACCGCAUACGUCCUGAGGGAGAAAGUGGGGGAUCUUCGGACCUCACGCUAUCAGAUGAGCCUAGGUCGGAUUAGCUAGUUGGUGGGGUAAAGGCCUACUAAGGCGACGAUCCGUAACUGGUCUGAGAGGAUGAUCAGUCACACUGGAACUGAGACACGGUCAAGACUCCUACGGGAGGCAGCAGUGGGGAAUAUUGGACAAUGGGGGAAAGCCUGAUCCAGCGGUGCCGCGUGUGUGAAGAAGGUCUUCGGAUUGUAAAGCACUUUAAGUUGGGAGGAAGGGCAGUAAGUUAAUACCUUGCUGUUUUGACGUUAACAACAGAAUAAGCACCGGCUAACUUCGUG